rnacentral:rRNA from 1 species
AGGACGAACGCUGGCGGCGUGCUUAACACAUGCAAGUCGAGCGGUGAUCCUCCUUCGGGAGGUGAGCAGCGGCGAACGGGUGAGUAACACGUGGGCAACCUGCCCCUCACACUGGGAUAACCCCGGGAAAACCGGAGCUAAUACCGGAUAUCCCCACCGGGUCGCAUGGCCUGGUGAGGAAAUGGAUUCCGCUUUGAGAGGGGCUCGCGGCCUAUCAGCUUGAUGGUGGGGUAAUGGCCUACCAUGGCACCGACGGGUAGC